UACGAAGGGAGCUAGCGUUGUUCGGAAUCACUGGGCGUAAAGCGCACGUAGGCGGACGUGUCAGUCAGGGGUGAAAUCCCGGAGCUCAACUUCGGAACUGCCUUUGAUACAGCACGUCUUGAGUCCGGAAGAGGUGGGUGGAAUUCCUAGUGUAGAGGUGAAAUUCGUAGAUAUUAGGAAGAACACCGGUGGCGAAGGCGGCC
rnacentral:rRNA from 1 species